AGAGUUUUCUCUCUCUAAGAUGAAAGCAAGGAAUUGAGCUUGUUUCUCUUUGCUCUAUGAGGGUUGCUGUAGAAGGGGGCCUGAAUCAGCUGUGAAGGAGUAAAAAUGAGGCUUAGGGAGAGGUAUUUCAUGACCCUAGCUCUGUAAGAAGCUGGGUUGAGGUUUGAGGGGGUUUGGGAAAUAGUCUCAACAGCUAGAGAGGGGUAAUUUUGCCGUAAUUCCUCUAUUUAUACCUAGGGAAAAACUAAAGUGAAGCUGUGAGAAGCAGGUUAGUGACUUUUGAAGCAGAAUUGGGAGGUGAUUCUUCAACCCUGAGCUAAGGAAAAACUGAAAUUGAAAUUUGGAAAAGCAGCCUUGGAAUUCCUUUUGAGCUGAAUGUUGGGACUUUUGUGAGCUGGUUUUGAGGUGUUUCAACCAGGGGUUGAACUGAACCAAAUCGGUUAGAAGCAGGUUCGCAGUGAACCAUUUGAUCUUAUUUGACUAAGUUUUGGAAGCUUUCGAAGGCUGAAUUUGAUACUCCAAUCUGAACCAAAACGAGAAAUUAAGCAUUGAUACUGUGCUAAAGGCUUCGGAUUACCUUCAUUGGCAGAAUCGACGUGAGCUUCGAUAAUUAGGUGGGUCGGACCUUCCCG